CCCCAGUAACGGCGAGUGAAGCGGCAACAGCUCAAUUUGAAAUCUGGCCCCCAGGGCCCGAGUUGUAAUUUGCAGAGGAUGCUUUUGGCGCGGUGCCUUCCGAGUUCCCUGGAACGGGACGCCAUAGAGGGUGAGAGCCCCGUCUGGUCGGACACCAAGCCAGUGUAAAGCUCCUUCGACGAGUCGAGUAGUUUGGGAAUGCUGCUCUAAAUGGGAGGUAUAUGUCUUCUAAAGCUAAAUACCGGCCAGAGACCGAUAGCGCACAAGUAGAGUGAUCGAAAGAUGAAAAGCACUUUGAAAAGAGGGUUAAACAGUACGUGAAAUUGUUGAAAGGGAAGCGUUUAUGACCAGACUUGGGCCCGGUGAAUCAUCCAGCGUUCUCGCUGGUGCACUUUGCCGGGCUCAGGCCAGCAUCAGUUCGUCGCGGGGGAUAAAAGCUUCGGGAACGUGGCUCCCUCGGGAGUGUUAUAGCCCGUUGCAUAAUACCCUGCGGUGGACUGAGGUUCGCGCUCCGCAAGGAUGCUGGCGUAAUGGUCAUCAGCGACCCGUCUUGAAACACGGACCAAGGAGUCGUCUUCGUAUGCGAGUGUUCGGGUGUAAAACCCCCUACGCGUAAUGAAAGUGAACGCAGGUGAGAGCUUCGGCGCAUCAUCGACCGAUCCUGAUGUUCU
rnacentral:rRNA from 1 species